rnacentral:rRNA from 1 species
AAUUGAAGAGUUUGAUCAUGGCUCAGAUUGAACGCUGGCGGCAGGCCUAACACAUGCAAGUCGAGCGGCAGCGGGAAAGUAGCUUGCUACUUUUGCCGGCGAGCGGCGGACGGGUGAGUAAUGCCUGGGAAAUUGCCCAGUCGAGGGGGAUAACAGUUGGAAACGACUGCUAAUACCGCAUACGUCCUACGGGAGAAAGCAGGGGACCUUCGGGCCUUGCGCUAUCAGAUGAGCCUAGGUCGGAUUAGCUAGUUGGUGGGGUAAUGGCUCACCAAGGCGACGAUCCGUAACUGGUCUGAGAGGAUGAUCAGUCACACUGGAACUGAGACACGGUCCAGACUCCUACGGGAGGCAGCAGUGGGGAAUAUUGGACAAUGGGCGAAAGCCUGAUCCAGCCAUGCCGCGUGUGUGAAGAAGGUCUUCGGAUUGUAAAGCACUUUCAGCGAGGAGGAAAGGUCAGUAGCUAAUAUCUGCUGGCUGUGACGUUACUCGCAGAAGAAGCACCGGCUAACUCCGUGCCAGCAGCCGCGGUAAUACGGAGGGUGCAAGCGUUAAUCGGAAUUACUGGGCGUAAAGCGCACGCAGGC